rnacentral:lncRNA from 1 species
UGUUUUUAGGGCUGACCACUUGGCACUGGAUGACCAUUUAGUAUCCUGAGGAAGACUCCUGUCUUAGCGUUACUGUUGCUGUGAGAGAAAUUUUGUGGGGCACUGGAUUAUGACACCAGACAGAAGAUCUGGAGAAACACAGGCUGGAACCCCUGUCUUAGACUGCUUUCGCCUUCCCUGAGCAACAUGUCAGCACGCAGGCAUCCAGCAGCAAGGCAGAAACGCAGAACUGCAAAAUUUUCUUGAUGAGAUUUGAGUUAGUCAAGAUGAGCAAUCGUAAAAGCAAGAAUAACAUACAUGCAGAGUGUCUUUCCCAGGUACAAAGAAUUUUACGUGAAAGGUUUUGUCAUCAUACUCCUCAUAGCAACCUAUUUGGAGUGCAAGUACAAUACAAGCAUUUAAUUGAGCUACUCAAAAGAACUGCUAUCUAUGGAGAAAGUAAUUCUUUACUCAUUGUUGGACCACGAGGAUCAGGAAAGACCACGUUAUUAAAUCAUGCCUUGAAAGAGCUCAUGCAAAUAGGAGACAUGAGUGAAAAUGUGUUACAAGUUCACUUAAAUGGACUGCUACAGACAAAUGAUAAAAUUGCUCUGAAAGAGAUCACAAGACAAUUAAAUCUAGAAAAUGUAGUUGGAGA